GGUUGAUCCUGCCAGUAGUCAUAUGCUUGUCUCAAAGAUUAAGCCAUGCAUGUGUAAGUAUGAACUAAUUCAGACUGUGAAACUGCGAAUGGCUCAUUAAAUCAGUUAUAGUUUGUUUGAUGAUAUCUACUACUCGGAUAAUCGUAGUAAUUCUAGAUCUAAUACGUGCAACAAAUCCUGACUUCUGGAAGGGAUGCAUUUAUUAGAUAAAAGGUCAAUGAGGGCUCUGCUCGUUGCAUUGAUGAUUCAUGAUAACUUGACAGAUCGCACAACCUUUGUGCUAGCGACACAU
rnacentral:rRNA from 1 species